rnacentral:lncRNA from 1 species
UGGCAUGUAUAGGUGGACUUGUGCUUAAUGAUCUAGUUGUUAUAUUGGCAUGUAUAUGUGGUAUUAUGGUUGGUGUGCUUUUGACACUUUGAUGCUUUGAUGGUUGGUGUUGAUUUGGUUAAGUGGAUGUAUGUUUUGAAAGACCAAUUGGUAAGUUAGGAUGUGAUUUGGUAUAUGGUCAAUUGUGUUAUAUUUUGGUAUGGAAAUAAGUAGUUGUGUAUGGUUGAUGAAUGGCCAAAU